GACGAACGCUGGCGGCGUGCCUAAUACAUGCAAGUCGAACGCAGUGGGGACGGGUGAGUAACACGUGGGUAACCUCCCAUCAGAGGGGAUAACACUUGGAAACAGGUGCUAAACCGAUACUGAUGGAUGGACCCGCGGUGCAUUAGCUAGUUGGUGAGGUAACGGCUCACCAAGGCCACGAUGCAUAGCCGGCGUGAGAGGGUGAUCGGACACACUGUGACUGAGACACGGCCCAAACUCCGACGGGAGGCAGCAGUGGGGAAUCUUGCGCAAUGGGCGAAAGCCUGACGCAGCCAUGCCGCGUGAAUGAUGAAGGUCUUAGGAUUGUAAAGCACUUUUGGCAGGAAAGCGGUACCUGCAGAAUAAGCACCGGCUAACUACGUGCCAGCAGCCGCGGUAAUUC
rnacentral:rRNA from 1 species